AGUGAACGCUGGCGGUAGGCCUAAUACAUGCAAGUCGAACGGAAGCAUAGUAAGCGUUCGCUUUUACGGGUGGCGGGUGGCGGAUGGGUGACGCGUAGAUCGCCAUCUUAUAUUUCGUGGGGGACAUCGUAGGGACACUUACGAUAAUAGAGCAUACGAUGUACGGGUGAAAGCAGGGGAGAUUCGGAGUUUGCGUGUCUGAUUGAGCCGAUGUCGGAUUAGCUAGUUGGGGAGGUAAAGGCCCACCAAGGCGACGAUGCGUAGCUGAUCUGAGAGGAUGAUCGGCCACACUGGAACUGAGACACGGUCCAGACUCCUACGGGAGGCAGCAGUAGGGAAUAUUCGGCAAUGGGCGCAAGCCUGAUCCAGCCAUACCGCGUGAGUGAUGAAGGCCUUCGGGUUGUAAAGCCCUGUUAUUAGGAAAGAAAAGCUGCGUAUGAAUACCCGGCUGUUCUGACGGUACCCAAAGAAUAAGCACCGGCUAACUUCGUG
rnacentral:rRNA from 1 species